GGUUCCUUGGCCCAGUUGGUUAAGGCAUCGUGCUAAUAACGCGGGAUCAGCGGUUCGAUCCCGCUACGGAACCU
rfam:Tetrapisispora blattae CBS 6284 chromosome 2, complete genome